AUUUAUAUAGUUUAAAUAAAACAUUACAUUUUCAAUGUAAAAAAAAUACAAAGUGUAUUUAUAAAUA
rnacentral:tRNA from 1 species